rnacentral:tRNA from 22 species
GCCCAGAUAGCUCAGUUGGUAGAGCACACCCUUGGUAAGGGUGAGGUCGGCAGUUCAAAUCUGCUUCUGGGCUCCA